rnacentral:tRNA from 1 species
GGGCGUUUAGCUCAGUUGGUAGAGCGCUACCCUUACAAGGUAGAUGUCAGCGGUUCGAGUCCGUUAACGCCCACCA